GGCACGGUACGCAAACUGGCAAAGCGGCGAAGCUCAGACCUUAGUGCCUGAGGGUUCGACUCCCUCCCGUGCUAC
rnacentral:tRNA from 1 species